CAAAGCAGACGUACACCACGCAGGAGGAAAGCUCAUUGCCAAGGCACAGACCUAUAAAGGAUAGGCUAACAGUCUUGGGCUGUGAGAACGCCAUUGGGGAUUUCAAAGUGAAGCCCCUACUACUUAUGUAUCACUCUGAAACUCCCCAAGUGUUCAAGAAAAACAAUAUAAUGUAAUCAAGAAUAAAUUGCCUGUGAUGUGGGAGGUCAACAAAAGGCAUGGGUCACAAGGCAAAUAUUCACUGAGUGGGUCAAUGAAGUGUUUGGCCCGAGUGUGAAAAAAUACCAGCAGGAGAAUCAAAUGCCCCUCAAGUGCCUCCUGGUAAUGAACCAUGCUUCUGCACAUCCUCCUGGCUUGGAAGACCAGUUGCUGGAUGAAUUUAAAUUCAUCACAGUGAAGUCCUUGGCCCCCUAAUACCACUCCUCUCAUUCACCCCAUGGACCUACAGAUAAUUUCAAACUUCAAGGAAUUUUUUAUUUUAUUUUAUUUUAUUGUAUCUUACAUAAAUCAAUUGUUUUACUGUAUGUACAUGUUAUGUACUGUACUGUCGUAUAACCAAAUUUGUUUAAAAUUUUUCAUUCCAGAAUUGCCUGGCCUCCUUCCAUGUGUUGACCCACCAGCCUCUCCAACUCUCUCAUCACUAAAUGAACUAAUAAUAGCCUCUCCAACUCUGUCUGAACGUUACUAAUCAAUGAAGUGUCUUCCGGUGAUGAAUCCUUCAAAGGGUUUCCAAAGUCACCUGUAGCAUCUCCACUUUCUCCAGCUUCAUCAGAUACAGUGGUGCCAUCGUCAAACCCCAACUCUCCAGCCUGUUCACCUUAUCAUUGUCCAUUAAGCUUCCAACCAGAGGAAGAUUCCUCUUCUUAGCCUCUCUCUCCAUCCACAUGUAAGUAGUACAAUGCCCAUCCUAAUAAGCAGGCCAACCACUAGUACAUAAGGUAACAAAUUCUUUUUUUUUAUUUUAUAAAUAUGUAUGCAUAAGUAGAUAGUAGUACUACUGUACCAUAUACUGUGCUUGUAUGUAUUAUGCAUACAAGUAUUUCGACUUACUUUUUAUUUGGUAUACAUGUAUGUAAUGUACAUAUACACAUAAGCAUUUUUACUGUAGUAUAGUAUACUAAUUUUAAUAUGUAUUUUCAUUACAGACUACGUACUGUAGUACCAGGGGAAGCUCGUGUACGUAUUGGCACUGUGGAUCUACAGCACCCCAGUUUUCACUCAAAAUUUAUUAAUGUAUACAUACUGUACUAUAGUGCAACAUGUAGUGUACAUAAUUACGUACACGUACAUAAUACGUAUUUGAUAGAUACAUAUGUUAAAUCAUU